AUCAGAGCCCUCCAACACAACCUCUCUCCGAUCAGAGCCCUCCACACAAGCCCUUCCGAUCAGAGCCCUCCACACAACCCUCUCCGAUCAGAGCCCUCCACACAACUCUCCAAUCAGAGCCCUCCACACAACCUCUCCAAUCAGAGCCCUCCACACAAGCUCUCCGAUCAGAGCCCUCCACACAAGCUCUCCGAUCAGAGCCCUCCACACAACCUCUCCAAUCAGAGCCCUCCACACAACCUCUCCAUCAGAGCCCUCCACACAACCUCUCCAAUCAGAGCCCUCCACACAACCUCUCCAAUCAGAGCCCUCCACACAACCUCUCCAAUCAGAGCCCUCCACACAACCUCUCCAAUCAGAGCCCUCCACACAACCUCUCCAAUCAGUCUUGCGAGAAAGUAAGUUCUGUCGAUGAGUAAGUUCUGUCUCGUAUGACUGUUGGGUGUAUUACUAACCACCAUCAAAAAAGGCUACAGAAAACAUAUAGUCCCCCACGAACGAUGCAGGGCCCCACCUUGGGCCAAUCAGUUUUAUUUUUAUAAAUGCCGCAUCUCUAUGGCAAGACGCAUCAUUCCCCCAAGUUUCGUCAAAAUCGGGACAGUGGUGUCUGAGAUAUAGCGUGGGUUAGAUACUCAUUUCCCUUAGUACGUGUGCCAUGCCAAAUUUCUGCACUCCGAGUGAAACAGAUCAAGAGAUAUAAACAUGUGCCUGUUAUAGCGCCACCGUGUGGUCGAUACUGAAUGUUCUUGCAUAUGUUUCGUCUUGACAGUGUUUGCAACAUGUGUACCAAAUUGAGUUUCAAUACGAAUAUCCUUGACUGAUUUACAUGCAUUUAUGUGCCAGACCACACCCACAUUGUUUAUUGGUCAAUAGCGUCCAUGUUGUUUUAGGUACUAGUCUGGAAAAUACUGUGUUAAGAGACUUUUGUCCAUAGAUGCUACAUACCAAGUUUCAUGCAGAUCGGUCAUUCGGUGCCAGACGCGAUGUCGUUUUAAGUGUGCUUCAUAAAAUUCAAAAUGGCGGAAAUUUCUUAAUGGCAGACCUUAUGGGUACCUGAGGCAAAUGUGUUUCUUGUGAGGAGAGGGACCGAAUGUACCGAAUUCCAUGACUUUAGGUCAACUGGGGUGAGGGGCGUGACCUUUCAAAGUUUUCAUUUAUAUUCUAUGUUAUAGCGCCACCAUCUGGCCAAUCAGUGUACAUUUUUAAAUGCCGGAUCUCUAUGGCAAGAUGCAUCAUUCACCCGAAUUUUCAUCAAAAUCGUGGCAGCGCUGUGUGAGAUAUCGCGUGUGACUAAAGUACGAACGUACAGACGGAGACAGAUCCACAGUGCCCUCGCAGAUUUAAUCUUGGGGGACAAUAGUCCUUAACUUGGCUGGCCAACUGUGUGGUGAAUUAACCAUAGGCAUUACAACAUACAAGAAACAACUAUGGGGUUAAAGUAAGCUAGCUUUGUCCUGCUGCUGAUGAAAAGUCUUCGCAGAAAACCAAACUGAACGAUGCGUCCCAAAAUGGGACCAUACUCCUUAUAUAGUGCACUACUUUUGACCAGAGCCUGGGCACUAUAUAGGAAUAGGGUGCCACUUGGGACGCACCCUUUAAUUAGCCUACUACACCAAGUGAAGUGACCCAUUGUCAAAUCAAACAGCUGAGAGCUUUUGUAAGAAUCAAUAUUUUUUUUUAAAAGGUUGGAUUCUGAAUUAUUUAUGAAUGUCAAAAGAUGAAAAUAAGAUCCACGGCAACAGAGGACAGCUGAUUGAACCACAGUGAGGACAGCUGAUUGAACCACAGUGAGGACAGCUGAAUGAACCACAGUGAGGACAGCUGAAUGAACCACGGUGAGGACAGCUAAAUGAACCACAGUGAGGACAGCUGAAUGAACCACGGUGAGGACAGCUAAAUGAACCACGGUGAGGACAGCUGAAUGAACCACAGUGAGGACAGCUAAAUGAACCACGGUGAGGACAGCUGAAUGAACCACAGUGAGGACAGCUAAAUGAACUCCAGAAUGAGGACAAGCUUAACUGAACCACGGUGGACAGCUAGCUAAAUGACAUCACAUUGAGGACAGCUAAAUGAACCACAGUGAGGAGUAAAGAACCACAGUGAGGACAGCUAAAUGAAACACGUGAGGACAGCUAAAUGAACCACGGUGGGACAGUAUGAAUCACAGUGAGGACAGUACUGAAAUGAAACACACGGUGAGCGACAGCUAAAUGAACCACGGUUGAGGACAGCUAAAUGAACCACAGUGAGGACAGCUAAAUGAAACCACGGUGAGGACAGCUAAUGAACCACAGUGGGACAGCUAUGAACACAGGGAGGACAGUAAAUGACCCAGAUGAGGACAGCUAAAUGAACCACCAGUGAGGACAGCUAAAUGAACCACAGUGAGGACAGUGAAUGAAACCACGUGAGGACGCUAAAUGACAUCAAUGAGACAGCUAAAUGAACCAUGUGAGACCAGCUAAAUGA
ensembl:lncRNA